rnacentral:rRNA from 1 species
UAGGGAAUCUUCCGCAAUGGACGCAAGUCUGACGGAGCAACGCCGCGUGAGUGAAGAAGGAUUUCGGUCCGUAAAACUCUGUUGUUAGAGAAGAACAGCGCAUAGAGUAACUGUUAUGCGUGUGACGGUAUCUAACCAGAAAGCCACGGCUAACUACGUGCCAGCAGCCGCGGUAAUACGUAGGUGGCAAGCGUUGUCCGGAUUUAUUGGGCGUAAAGCGAGCGCAGGCGGUCAAUUAAGUCUGAUGUGAAAGCCCCCGGCUCAACCGGGGAGGGUCAUUGGAAACUGGUUGACUUGAGUGCAGAAGAGGAGAGUGGAAUUCCAUGUGUAGCGGUGAAAUGCGUAGAUAUAUGGAGGAACACCAGUGGCGAAGGCGACUCUCUGGUCUGUAACUGACGCUGAGGUUCGAAAGCGUGGGUAGCAAACAGG